GGAAUAUUGGACAAUGGGCGCAAGCCUGAUCCAGCCAUGCCGCGUGAAGGAUGAAGGCCCUCUGGGUCGUAAACUUCUUUUAUACGGGAAGAAACCCCCCGAUGCGUCGGGGGUUGAUGGUACUGUAAGAAUAAGGGUCGGCUAACUUCGUGCCAGCAGCCGAGGUAAUACGAAGGACCCGAGCGUUAUCCGGAUUUAUCGGGUAUAAAGGGUGCGUGGGCGGAUCGGUAAGUCAGUGGUGAAAGCCCGUCGCUCAACGGCGGAACUGCCAUUGAUACUGCUAGUCUUGAGUAUGGUUGAGGUGGGCGGAAUGUGUCAUGUAGCGGUGAAAUGCUUAGAUAUGACACAGAACACCGAUUGCGAAGGCAGCUCGCUAAGCCAUAACUGACGCUGAUGCACGAAAGCGUGGGGAGCAAA
rnacentral:rRNA from 1 species